GAUCCUGGCUCAGGAUGAACGCUAGCUACAGGCUUAACACAUGCAAGUCGAGGGGCGAGCGGGAAGUCAGCUUGCUGACUUUGCCGGCGACCGGCGCACGGGUGAGUAACACGUAUCCAACCUUCCCGUUACUCUGGAAUAGCCUUUCGAAAGAAAGAUUAAAUACCGGAUAGUAUCGAGAGAUUGCAUGAUUACCCGAUUUAAAGAUUCAUCGGUAACGGAUGGGGAUGCGUUCCAUUAGG
rnacentral:rRNA from 1 species